UCAGGACGAACGCUGGCGGCGUGCCUAAUACAUGCAAGUCGAGCGGACUUUAAAAGCUUGCUUUUAAAAGUUAGCGGCGGACGGGUGAGUAACACGUGGGCAACCUGCCUGUAAGACUGGGAUAACUUCGGGAAACCGGAGCUAAUACCGGAUAAUCCUUUUCUACACAUGUAGAAAAGCUGAAAGACGGUUUACGCUGUCACUUACAGAUGGGCCCGCGGCGCAUUAGCUAGUUGGUGAGGUAACGGCUCACCAAGGCAACGAUGCGUAGCCGACCUGAGAGGGUGAUCGGCCACACUGGGACUGAGACACGGCCCAGACUCCUACGGGAGGCAGCAGUAGGGAAUCUUCCGCAAUGGACGAAAGUCUGACGGAGCAACGCCGCGUGAGUGAUGAAGGUUUUCGGAUCGUAAAACUCUGUUGUUAGGGAAGAACAAGUACAAGAGUAACUGCUUGUACCUUGACGGUACCUAACCAGAAAGCCACGGCUAACUACGUGCCAGCAGCCGCGGUAAUACGUAGGUGGCAAGCGUUGUCCGGAAUUAUUGGGCGUAAAGCGCGCGCAGGCGGUCCUUUAAGUCUGAUGUGAAAGCCCACGGCUCAACCGUGGAGGGUCAUUGGAAACUGGGGGACUUGAGUGCAGAAGAGAAGAGUGGAAUUCCACGUGUAGCGGUGAAAUGCGUAGAGAUGUGGAGGAACACCAGUGGCGAAGGCGACUCUUUGGUCUGUAACUGACGCUGAGGCGCGAAAGCGUGGGGAGCAAACAGGAUUAGAUACCCUGGUAGUCCACGCCGUAAACGAUGAGUGCUAAGUGUUAGAGGGUUUCCGCCCUUUAGUGCUGCAGCAAACGCAUUAAGCACUCCGCCUGGGGAGUACGGCCGCAAGGCUGAAACUCAAAGGAAUUGA
rnacentral:rRNA from 1 species